CCGCUCACGCCCGGUCGU
rnacentral:snRNA from 1 species